AAAGGAAUUGACGGGGACCCGCACAAGCAGCGGAGCAUGUGGUUUAAUUCGAAGCAACGCGAAAAACCUUACCAAGACUUGACAUCGUAUGACCGCUAUAGAAAUAUGGUUUCCCUUCGGGGCAUAUAGACAGGUGGUGCAUGGUUGUCGUCAGCUCGUGUCGUGAGAUGUUGGGUUAAGUCCCGCAACGAGCGCAACCCCUAUGAAUAGUUGCCAAUAUUAAGUUAGGAACUCUAUUCAGACUGCCGUGGAUAACACGGAGGAAGGUGGGGACGACGUCAAAUCAUCAUGCCCCUUACGUCUUGGGCUACACACGUGCUACAAUGGCUAUUACAAAGAGCAGCGAACCCGUAAGGGGGAGCGAAUCUCACAAAAAUAGUCUCAGUUCGGACUGUGGGCUGCAACCCGCCCACACGAAGUAGGAGUUGCUAGUAAUCCCGAAUCAGCAUGUCGGGGUGAAUGCGUUCCCGGGUCUUGUACACACCGCCCGU
rnacentral:rRNA from 1 species